rnacentral:rRNA from 1 species
UACGGGGGGAGCAAGCGUUGUUCGGAUUUACUGGGCGUAAAGGGCGCGUAGGCGGCCACCGCAAGUCGACUGUGAAAUCUCCGGGCUUAACCCGGAAAGGUCAGCCGAUACUGCGGGGCUAGAGUGCAGAAGGGGCAACUGGAAUUCUCGGUGUAGCGGUGAAAUGCGUAGAGUAUCGAGAGGAACACCUGCGGCGAAGGCGGCUUACUGGACAGUUACUGACACUCAACUACGAAAGCGUGGGGAGCAAACAGG